rnacentral:rRNA from 1 species
GCUUCGCAUGAAGCAGUGUGAAAAACUCCGGUGGUAUACGAUGGAUCCGCGUCUGAUUAGCUGGUUGGCGGGGUAAAGGCCCACCAAGGCGACGAUCAGUAGCCGGCCUGAGAGGGUGAACGGCCACAUUGGGACUGAGACACGGCCCAAACUCCUACGGGAGGCAGCAGUGGGGAAUAUUGCACAAUGGGGGAAACCCUGAUGCAGCGACGCCGCGUGAGUGAAGAAGUAUUUCGGUACGUAAAGCUCUAUCAGCAGGGAAGAAAAUGACGGUACCUGACUAAGAAGCCCCGGCUAACUACGUGCCAGCAGCCGCGGUAAUACGUAGGGGGCAAGCGUUAUCCGGAUUUACUGGGUGUAAAAGGAGCGUAGACGGCAGCGCAAGUCUGGAGUGAAAUCCCAUGGCUUAACCAUGGAACUGCUUUGGAAACUGUGCAGCUGGAGUGCAGGAGAGGUAAGCGGAAUUCCUAGUGUAGCGGUGAAAUGCGUAGAUAUUAGGAGGAACACCAGUGGCGAAGGCGGCUUACUGGACUGUAACUGACGUUGAGGCUCGAAAGCGUGGGGAGCAAACAGGAUUAGAUACCCUGGUAGUCCACGCUGUAAACGAUGCUUAAUGGGUGUUGGGG